GUGCUCACUUCAUCAGCACAUAUACUCAAAUUGGAACAAAACAAAGAUUAGCAUGACCCCUGUGCAAGAAUGACAUGCAAAUUCUUGAAGCGUUCCAUACUUUU